CUGACCGAUAGUGAACCAGUACCGUGAGGGAAAGGCGAAAAGAACCCCGGCGAGGGGAGUGAAAAAGAACCUGAAACCGUGUACGUACAAGCAGUGGGAGCACCUUCGGGUGUGACUGCGUACCUUUUGUAUAAUGGGUCAGCGACUUAUAUUCUGUAGCAAGGUUAACCGUAUAGGGGAGCCGCAGGGAAACCGAGUCUUAACUGGGCGUUAAGUUGCAGGGUAUAGACCCGAAACCCGGUGAUCUAGCCAUGGGCAGGUUGAAGGUUGGGUAACACUAACUGGAGGACCGAACCGACUAAUGUUGAAAAAUUAGCGGAUGACUUGUGGCUGGGGGUGAAAGGCCAAUCAAACCGGGAGAUAGCUGGUUCUCCCCGAAAGCU
rnacentral:rRNA from 1 species